rnacentral:lncRNA from 1 species
GAAAACAAAUGGAGGAACGCGUAAACAAAAAUAAAUAACUAAAUAAAUAAACAAGAUGUUGAUACAUCCAAAUCCGAAACAGAAAUAGUAAUCACAGAAGCUCAAUGUGUGAUACUUGAUGAUCUGAUGCCAAACCAACAAACAAAAUCUACUUCUUACAACAGCAGCUUAAAGCACUUGAUAACACAAAAGAUAACAUGAUAGAAAAGACAUUGAGAAGAAACAGAAACAAAAGCACACAGAUUAUCAUUCUCAAUUCACAAUCAUUCUACCGUUUGGUUCGGGGUUAAAAAAAAACUAGUUAUUCCAGGAAUAGGGGAUAGGAUUAAGUUCAGAGUUAAGGUAGGAUUAGAAUAUUUUUGUGUUUGGUUGGGGGUUAGAGUUAGUCCAGAAUAGUAAAAAAUAGUGUUUGUUAGAGUAGAUGGGAUAAGAAGGAUAGUGAAUUAUUAUGAAUAGAAAAUAAUGUUUGGUUGGAAUUUUGUGGGGUUUGGUGGGAUUAGCUAACCCGGGAUAGCCCAUUUGAGGUGGGAUUAGCUAACCCCACUCAUUUUUGUUUUUUGUAGGUGUUUGGGG